rnacentral:rRNA from 1 species
GACGAACGCUGGCGGCGUGCUUAACACAUGCAAGUCGAACGGAAAGGCCCUGCUUUUGUGGGGUGCUCGAGUGGCGAACGAGUGAGUAACACGUGAGUAACCUGCCCUUGACUUUGGGAUAACUUCAGGAAACUGGGGCUAAUACCGGAUAGGAGCUCCUGCUGCAUGGUGGGGGUUGGAAAGUUUCGGCGGUUGGGGAUGGACUCGCGGCUUAUCAGCUUGUUGGUGGGGUAGUGGCUUACCAAGGCUUUGACGGGUAGCCGGCCUGGGAGGGUGACCGGCCACAUUGGGACUGAGAUACGGCCCAGACUCCUACGGGAGGCAGCAGUGGGGAAUAUUGCACAAUGGGCGGAAGCCUGAUGCAGCAACGCCGCGUGCGGGAUGACGGCCUUCGGGUUGUAAACCGCUUUCGCCUGUGACGAAGCGUGAGUGACGGUAAUGGGUAAAGAAGCACCGGCUAACUACGUG